CCCCUACUUGCUGCAGUUUUGUAUUUAGGCUGCAGCUUUAGUUGUAGCUAAAUUUUUUUUUUGCUGUUGUCUACUAUAGCAACUAAACUAGAGCUGAAGGCUUAACAUUCCAAGCAUUAUUAUUGGUACAGAAGGUGAGAAGCGGAAUCUUAUGUGCAUGCGGCAGGGUUGCUAGGAUUUGGAAUUUACUGUGACGAAGGUUUUUGCCGGCAUAGCUGGAGGUUUAACAAUAGAUUAUGCUUCGGACAAUGGAUCGAUAAUAUGUUAAACUUUUGUUCCUAAAAAAAUGUUUUUUUUCCAACAAGUGUAACGAUUUAUUGAAAUAAGGAACAAUUAAGAAACUGUAACUAUAUUUGUGACAAGUGUUACUAUUUAUAAUAAAGAAUGUGCCAGUUUAAGAAAAAUACAAUAAUGUAGUAGGUUUUGUUUUGUUUUUUUUUGCAGUUGGGGAUUAC
rnacentral:lncRNA from 1 species